rnacentral:ribozyme from 1 species
AAAGGAAAAAGAAAGAACAUAACAAACAGUCGGUGACCCUUCUUUUGUUUUUUUUGAGCAUCCAAAUUGUUCUUGUUUUGCGUUUCUGUGUUUUUUGUUGUUGGUUUGCAAGGUUUUAAAUAAUCCUCACAUGAAAUCUAAAACAAGAGGCAAUGAAUGUUAGUUUUAGUUAUAAUUCAGUUUGAGUAGAAUUGUAAUAAU